GAUGAACGCUGGCGGCGUGCUUAACACAUGCAAGUCGAGCGAUGAAGUUUCCUUCGGGAAACGGAUUAGCGGCGGACGGGUGAGUAACACGUGGGUAACCUGCCUCAUAGAGUGGAAUAGCCUUCCGAAAGGAAGAUUAAUACCGCAUAACGAUGAAAGAUGGCCUCAUCACUCAACCAAAGGAGCAAUCCGCUAUGAGAUGGACCCGCGGCGCAUUAGCUAGGUGGUGGGGUAACGGACUACCAAGGCGACGAUGCGUAGACGACCUGAGAGGGUGAUCGGACACAUUGAGACUGAGACACGGCCCAGACUCCUACGGGAGGCAGCAGUGGGGAAUAUUGCACAAUGGGGGAAACCCUGAUGCAGCGACGCCGCGUGAGUGAUGAAGGUUUGCGGAUCGUAAAGCUCUGUAUUUGGGGAAGAUAAUGACGGUACUCAAGGAAGAAGCCACGGCUAACUAUGUGCCAGCCGCCGCAGUAA
rnacentral:rRNA from 1 species